rnacentral:sRNA from 1 species
UAGGUAAUGGUGAUUAUUGAACAACUUUGUGAAUAUACUAAAAACUACUGAAUUAUACAGUUUAAAAGGGUGAAUCUUACAUGUGAAUUAUAUCUCAAUUUUUAAAAAUCUAAAUACAAAUUUUUAUCAUGAGACCCUUCAAAACACCACUCCCUGCAUUGGGUUUUUGUUUUGUUUUUUUUGUUCUUUUGUUUGUGAAGAGAGAUGGUCUCACUCCACCACUCAGGCUGGUAGAGUGCAAUGGCGUGAUCUCAGCUUACUGCAGCCAGUAAACAAUCCCAGGCUCAAGCGAUCCUCCCGCCUCAGUCCCCCAAGUAGCUGGGGCCACCAGCACGUGCCGCCACAUCCAGCUAAUUUUUGGUUUUUUGGGGGUUUUUCUUGUAGAGACGGGGUUUUGCCAUCUUGCCCAGGCUGGUCUUUAACUCCUGAACUCAGGCAAUCUGCCUCCCAAAGUGUUGGGAUUACAGACAUGAGCCACUGUGCCCGGCCUAUUCCUUAAUUUUGAAUGUUUUUAUAUUAUAUGUAAUAUUUAUUUUCUGUUUUUGUGACUUGUUCUAUGUAGCUUUUUCAAUCUUUAAAAUGUUAGUUUGUCAUUCUAGUGUUUGAAAAUGAGUAAUUCCUUUGGUAAGCUGUUAAACACAUUUUUAUGUUGUAUUUUUAGGCUAUGGAGUUACUAGUAGAGAAAGCAAUCAGCAGUGCUUCUAGCCCUCAGAGCCCUGGGGAUGCACUGAGAAGAGUUUUUGAGUGCAUUUCUUCAGGGAUUAUUCUUAAAGGUAGUCCUGGACUUCUGGAUCCUUGUGAAAAGGAUCCCUUUGAUACCUUGGCAACAAUGACUGACCAGCAGCGUGAAGACAUCACAUCCAGUGCACAGUUUGCAUUGAGACUCCUUGCAUUCCGCCAGAUACACAAAGUUCUAGGCAUGGAUCCAUUACCGCAAAUGAGCCAACGUUUUAACAUCCACAACAACAGGAAACGAAGAAGAGAUAGUGAUGGAGUUGAUGGAUUUGAAGCUGAGGGGAAAAAAGACAAAAAAGAUUAUGAUAACUUUUAAAAAGUGUCUGUAAAUCUUCAGUGUUAAAAAAACAGGUGCCCAUUUGUUGGCUGUUUUUCAUUCAUAAUAAUGUCUACAUUGAAAAAUUUAUCAAGAAUUGAAAGGAUUUCAUGGAAGAACCAAGUUUUUCUAUGACAUUUAAAAAUGUACAGUGUUAGGUAUUAUUUGAAUGGAAAGACACCCAAAAAAAAAAAAAAUGUGCUCCGACUAGGGGGAAAACAGUAGUUCCGAUUUUUUCCCAUUAUUUUUAUUUUAUUUUCUGGUUGCCCUAGCUUCCCCCGCUAUUUUUGUGUCUUUUAUUAACUAGUGCAUUGUCUUAUUAAAUCUUCACUGUAUUUAAUGCAGGAUUUGUGCUUCAGUUGCUCUUGUGUAUUUUGAUAUUUUAAUUUAGAGGUUUUAUUUGCUUUUUGACACUAGUUGUAAGUUACUUUGUGUUAGAGAUGAUAUCCUUUAUCCCUUCUUAAUAUUUUACAGCAGUACGUUUUUUUGUAACGUGAGACUGCAGAGUUUGUUUUUCUAUAUGUGAAGGAUUACAACACAAAAAGUUAUCCUGCCAUUCGAGUGCUCAGAACUGAAUGUUUCUGCAGAUCUUGUGGCAUUUGUCUCUAGUGUGAUAUAUAAAGGUGUAAUUAAGACAGAGUUCUGUUAAUCUAAUCAAGUUUGCUGUUAGUUGUGCAUUAGCAGUAUAAAAGCUAAUAUAUACUAUAUGGUCUUGCAACAGUUUUAAAGCCUCUGCAUAAUUGAUAAUAAAAAUGCAUGACAUUUUUGUUUUUAAUAGACUUUUAAAAUUAUAAUUUUAGGUUUAACACGUAGAUCUUUGUACAGUUGACUUUUUGACAUAGCAAGGCCAAAAAUAACUUUCUGAAUAUUUUUUUCUUGUGUAUAAGUGGAAAGGGCGUUUUUCACAUAUAAGUGGGCUAACCAAUAUUUUCAGAAGAACUUCAUCAUUGUGCAACUAACAACAGUAACUAGCCCUUAAUUAUGGUGACAGUUCCUUAUUGGUGUGUGUGAGAUUACUCUAGCAACUAUUACAGUAUAACACAGAUGAUCUUCUCCACACACCCCAUCACCCAGAUAAUUUACAGUUCUGUUAACAGUGAGGUUGAUAAAGUAUUACUGAUAAAAAAUUAAGAUUAUCUAAGG